UUAGUUAUGUAAACACUACAUUUUGUGCAAACGCGCAGUCCAUCUUGCUGUUUUUCCUAUUUAUUCGUUACAAAAAGAAAUAUGCAGAAAGUAUCAAUGUAAGUGAACUUGUCCGGUGAUACUGAACAUCUGAUCAGGCUUUACUUGUUUUAUGUUGAUUGUAAGUUAAGGUAUAAUUUAGUACUUGUGCACUCAUGCUCAAUGUUUAGAUAAUGCGAGUUAAGAUAAUAGAUGUGUUAAGCUUAACCAUAGUCAGUGUUUGUAUAUAGUAGAUUAGGUUUUGCAAUGAUGUUUGUCAUCUUUGUUAGCUCCCCCUUUUUGGAUAAAUCCGGAAGUUAGGGUUUUGUAUUGUUGCUCUCUGUAAGCAAGCCCCCCCCCCUUUCUGUGUGAAACCGGAAGUCACUAUCAUCCGAGUUGUAAACAAUCACACGUGCAUUUUCUAUUUUUGGUCUGUUCCUUUCAAGUCCCUCUCUAGCCAAGCAAAUAUAUUAUUAGCUAAUUUCCCCCAUUAGAAUGUAAUUACACACUUUGAAUUUGAUCAUUUAUUUUUAUAAUAAAGAUGUAUAGUAGACAUAUUAUUGUACCUGUGUAAUGAAUUGUGUGUUUAUAUAAUGAUGUUUAAUUAACACAUGAACAUGAAUCUGUGGCAUUGUUAUGCACUUUCAUUUUGAUUUUACAGUGUACCAUUGUUUUUAUAUCUUUUAUUAUAAUUAUAUUUGACAACACUUUUGCGACGGACAUCAACCAAUAAACAUAUAAUUU
rnacentral:sRNA from 1 species